rnacentral:ncRNA from 2 species
AUCACUUUUUAGUAAAGUUGCACUGGACAAAGCGUACCACAAUUGGUGUACUGGUAACCGACACAGCAUUUGUGUCUAUUUUUCAUGUAAAGGUAAUUUUGAUGUCUAAGAUUAAAGGUAACGUUAAGUGGUUUAAUGAGUCCAAAGGAUUCGGUUUCAUUACUCCGGAAGACGGCAGCAAAGACGUGUUCGUACACUUCUCUGCAAUCCAGACUAAUGGUUUUAAAACUCUUGCUGAAGGUCAGCGCGUAGAGUUCGAAAUCACUAACGGUGCCAAAGGCCCUUCUGCUGCAAACGUAAUCGCUCUGUAAGAUACGUCAGCAAGAAUUCAAAACCCGCUUAAUCAGCGGGUUUUUUUU